rnacentral:rRNA from 1 species
UACGGAGGGUGCAAGCGUUAUCCGGAUUCACUGGGUUUAAAGGGCGCGUAGGCGGCCCGCUAAGUCGAACGUGAAAUCCCUGGGCUCAACCCAGGAACUGCGUCCGAUACUGGCAGGCUUGAAUCCGGGAGAGGGAUGUGGAAUUCCAGGUGUAGCGGUGAAAUGCGUAGAUAUCUGGAGGAACACCGGUGGCGAAGGCGGCAUCCUGGACCGGUAUUGACGCUGAUGCGCGAAAGCCAGGGGAGCAAACGGG